CUGCGGCUGGCCCGCUCUCCGAGGAGCUUUCGAUACUUUGGGGUCAAGUUUGAGGCAGUUAACACUUUGAUGUCUUAAGUGGUACAUCCAAACUUGAAUGAAAUAGAGCUGUGAGGACAUUUUGAGGGAAGUGAUCUAGUCUACAGGUAUUUGAAAGCAUGAACCUUGCAUUGAUUCAAGUAAGAAGACAUUCGGGAGAGGUCCAAACGUCAGAUUUUCUUACACAGAAUGGAGAAGGAGCAGUUUUUCCAUUUCCCUGAAACGAAUUGAGUGAAGUUGACAGCAGGAUUGCAGAAGUGGGAGCACCCAAGGUGAGGGAAGCAUGGUUGGCAAUUUCUGCUUUCUGUUUGUCGUUAGUAUUUGUUUUUCUUUCC
rnacentral:lncRNA from 1 species